GAUGAACGCUGGCGGCGUGCCUAAUACAUGCAAGUCGAGCGAAUGGAUUAAGAGCUUGCUCUUAUGAAGUUAGCGGCGGACGGGUGAGUAACACGUGGGUAACCUGCCCAUAAGACUGGGAUAACUCCGGGAAACCGGGGCUAAUACCGGAUAACAUUUUGAACCGCAUGGUUCGAAAUUGAAAGGCGGCUUCGGCUGUCACUUAUGGAUGGACCCGCGUCGCAUUAGCUAGUUGGUGAGGUAACGGCUCACCAAGGCAACGAUGCGUAGCCGACCGGAGGGGUGGAUCGGCCACACCGGGACUGAGACACGGCCCAGACUCCUACGGGAGGCAGCAGUAGGGAAUCGUCCGCAAUGGACGAAAGUCUGACGGAGCAACGCCGCGUGAGUGAUGAAGGCUUUCGGGUCGUAAAACUCUGUUGUUAGGGAAGAACAAGUGCUAGUUGAAUAAGCUGGCACCUUGACGGUACCUAACCAGAAAGCCACGGCUAACUACGUGCCAGCCGCCGCCGUAA
rnacentral:rRNA from 1 species